rnacentral:rRNA from 1 species
AAACAUGGCUCUUUGUAUUUAUUUUGAUAGGGAGUCAGGCCUGCCCAGUGAAUCAUAUUUAACGGCCGCGGUACUCUGACCGUGCAAAGGUAGCGUAAUCAUUUGCCUUAUAAUUGAAGGCUAGUAUGAAUGGUUUAACGAGAGCAAUACUGUCUCCUUUUUAUUUUUGAGAACUUAACCUUUAGGUGAAGAGGCCUAAAUUUUAUUGAAGGACAAGAAGACCCUGUCGAGCUUAAAAGAUAUUAUAGAAGGACAUAUAUUUUAAGAUAAAUUUACUAUUAAGCUUUUUAGUUGGGGCGACUAAGGAACAAAAAAAGCUUCUUGCAAUAAACAAACAAUCAAGUUUUGAUCCGAUAACAAUCGAUUAAAGAAAUUAGUUACCGCAGGGAUAACAGCAUAAUCUCUCUUGAGAGACCUAAUCGAAAGAGGGGGUUGUGACCUCGAUGUUGGACUAGAAUAUCCUGAAGAUGCAGAAGUCUUCAAGGGUCGGUCUGUUCGACCGUUAAAAUUCUACGUGAUC